rnacentral:lncRNA from 1 species
CAACGUAACGUAUAUUUCUUAUUACAUUAUCAUAUACACAUGACAUAUGGGCCUAAUAGGCCAAUAUGAUCCUUUAUAAACUUAAAAUAUAGGCCGAUAAGUCCGUACAAUCUUUUAUAUAUAUGACAUAUGUCUACAAGCCUCUAAGAGUACAUAAAUGUCAUAAAGGUUGAGACAGAGUCCCGCCUUACCAAAUAAUACACAUCUAAAUCAUACUAACUAAACGAGCAACUCUGAAUCAAAUGGAGCACACCAACAUCUUCCACUGAGCUGAUAGCCUACUUGGAGCGCUCUCGACCUGUCUAUCGGGACCUGCGGGCAUGAAACGCAGUGUCCCCAAGCAAAAGGGACGUCAGUACGAAUAAUGUACCGAGUAUGUAAGGCACAUAAAUAAAUACAUAAGAGACAUGGAAGACAUAUAGAGUACAUAACUCAACUUGUAAGUUUGAACAACUUUGUAAAUCAUAAAUUACUUUUAAUGUCAUGCAUAUGUGUAUGAAUGUCAUGUCGUGCAUAGGUACAUGUUUCAUAACACCAUCAGCCUCUGAGGGCAUCCCAUCAUAUCAUAUCGGCCAUUGUGGGCAAAAUCAUCAUCGUAUACCAGCUGAUCAGGUGGUGGUGCGUAUAUAACGCCAUAACCUUUCUCAUAUCCCAUAUACAUAUAUAUACAUACAUACAUAUAUACGCGUAUAUAAUGCCAUUUGAAUCAUAUUUAUAUAUAUACGUGUAUAUAACACCGUUUGAAUCAUUUUUCAGCCAUUGUGGGCAACAUCAUCAUCAUAUACCAACUGAUCAGGUGGUGGUGCAUAUAUAACGACGUAACCUUUUCCCAUAUCUCAUAUACAUAUAUAUACAUAUAUACGCGUAUAUAACGCUAUCUGGUCAUGGGUCAAUGCACAUGAACGUAAUGCAUGAAAAGUACGUUAAUAAAAUCUUUCGGAAAUUCAUAAGACCAUUUUGUCUUGAGCAAUAUCAUAAAGUAAACUUUUUUUUCAACUUUCAUAUUUUUCUGAGACCCAUGGACAGAUGAUAAAAUAUUAUGACACAUGGAAAUUCAGGAACAUAGAUAUCUCUAAUACUUCUAUGAAUAGAGUCAUUUAUGAAAUUUGUGCAUUUGCACGUUUCGUUUAUAUCGUAUGGAUCAUGCCAAAAAAAAGAAGGGAUAGCCUUAACAUACCUGGAGCGGGAAAAACUCCAUAUAAUAUUCUUGGAGAAGAUUGCACCGUACCCCUUUUGAAACGCAAAAUUUUACGUUGCUACGAUUCUAAUCAAUUCUUGUUAACUGAUUGCAAGAACUUCCUUGGAGAGUUUUGAAAACUUGGCGUCCUUGCUUGGAGUAUUGAACUUAUCAAGAAAGACUUAAAAUUGCAUUCUUCUUCUGUCUACAUGAACUAAGGAUAAAGACCAAGCUUUU